GUGAGUAACAUGUAGGUAUCUACCCUUUGGCCUGGAAUAACACGAGGAAACUUGUGCUAAUACCGGAUAAGUCUUUACGGAGAAAGCUUUAUGCACCAUUGGAUGAGCCUGCACUUGAUUACUUUGUUGGUGGGGUAAUGGCCUACCAAGACUGUGAUCAAUAGCUGAUUUGAGAGGAUGAUCAGCCACAUUGGGACUGAGACACGGCCCAAACUCCUACGGGAGGCAGCAGUGGGGAAUCUUGCACAAUGGAGGAAACUCUGAUGCAGCGAUGCCGCGUGAGUGAAGAAGGCCUUUGGGUUGUAAAGCUCUUUCGUCGGGGAAGAAAAUGACUGUACCCGAAUAAGAAGGUCCGGCUAACUUCGUGCCAGCAGCCGCGGUAAUACGAAGGGACCUAGCGUAGUUCGGAAUUACUGCGCUUAAAGAGUUCGUAGGUGGUUGAAAAAGUUAGUGGUGAAAUCCCACAGCUUAACUCUGGAACUGCCAUUAAAACUUUUCAGCUAGAGUAUGAUAG
rnacentral:rRNA from 1 species